rnacentral:tRNA from 1 species
GCCUUCGUGGUGUAGUGGUCAGCACGCUCGACGCGUAAUCGAGAGGUCAGUGGUUCGAGUCCUGGCGAGGGCU